GUGGAACAUUCACACUUCUCCUGCCUUGUUUCUUUUAUCUUAAAACCCAGCUGGGCUAUUACUCCAAAACCUGCAGUAACAGGAGUGUUACAUAGUCAUAGUGGUGUGUAAUCUACUCUGCACAGGAUUAAAGGGAAAAAUCUGCAUCAGCCCUUUCUCCCAGAUCAGGAGAACUAUUUUGUGAGUCACACAGAGAGCGGGGACGGCAGUGAACAUAAAGGAAGCACCGUAGCCCUGUGCAGCUGAAAGCCACUUAAGCCAAAAAAAGAAUCUUCAGGUUCCAAGAGGGAAAGUCAAAAUCCCUAAUUUAGAAGCACCGGCAGGGUGGACAUUGGAAGCAUGCAGACUCACUCACUGGAAAGCUCCCAAGAUCUACAAGCGCUGAAAUGAAAACAUGACACAAUGGAUCAGUCAACGAUUACUACUGAAUAAGCCAGCGGGCUUCAGGGUUAAUCACUGCAGCCAUCCAUGAACUCUCACAGGGUGGAAAAACAGUUAGCAUUGCCUAGAACAUCUUUGGGAUGAUGUCCAGUUGUGUGGUGGGAGGUUCAUGUGCUCUGUUGUCUUCUUGUUGGCAAAAGCAUUGUCAUCUGGAGGUAUGUCAAGUGAGGAAGGAUAACUGCUUGGAUCAGUAUUUGAAUUAAACAAUCAAGAGAGGGGGGAAAAGGAAGGGGAAAUUAGGGGGAAUUCUCAUGGUUUCAUUGACGAGGAAGCUUGACACCAGCAUCCCUAUGUCAAAGUGUUGUUUUGGAAGGGUUGGCUAUGACUGAACAGCCUCAGCAUGGGUUCAAGAACUUUCACCGGGAUCUACAGUUCUGGAGGUGUGUGUUUCUGCAGGCCCCCUGGCUGUUCUAUGGCACUGCUCUGAGCAAGGUCAGUCCCACAAGGACACAGGGGAUGCUCCAAGAGAGAAGGAGUCCACUGUCAUAUGGUGGAAAAUGUUCUGUGUUGGUUCUUGCACUGGUCUCAUACAUGUGCCGCUAUCAGUGACUUUUCUGAUUUAAUACGUUCUUCUUGUUUACACUUUCCUGAAUUUCUCCCCUUGCUUUCAGUUUGCUCAAGGGAACAGCAUUUAUGUUUGUUGUUUGGUUUUAGAAUCUCUUCUCGUCCAAAACAAGGAAUAGAUUUCCAUGUUUUUAUAUUUAUUUUAUAAUUUUCUGUUGUGAUUUAUUUUCUGCUUUUCUCUUUCCCUUUUCAUGGGUAAAUUGAAAGAAAAAAAAUGUGAGAUCAAGAGAGAAGGGCAGGGAAAAAUGCAAGGAUAAAAUGAAGCAUGACAUUUUCACAAGGACCAUUCUGAAAAUAUUAAUUAAAAACCAUUUUAGAAAUGCUUCUGAUGGAGAAAGAAACAAUUAUGUUGGACAGUAACUUGUUUAUUAUUCACAAACCUAUUUGCAGAAAAAAAAUUCAAACCUAAUUUUAAAAGAUCUUCAUAAUUGUUUUGUUCUUUUUGAGGUUUGUGGAAUUGUAUGUCUUUAAAAGUGUUUGCAGGUACUUGUUUUCCUGUUUAGUCUCUGUUUCCAAUAUCUGUUGAUUUGAUGGGACAUUGAUUCACAGACUUCCACAAACCAAGUGUUACUCAAAGGGAAAGUUAUCAAGGAAAAAAAUACAAAAUCAAUAAGAA